rnacentral:rRNA from 1 species
AUGGCUUUCAUGCGCUCGUCGUCCUCAUCCAUGGCUCUGGCUCUGCUGCCGCUACUGGUGGCAGCCGCAUUCUUCAUCCCCUCCAUGGCUUCAUCAGCUUCAGGUACCCUGGACCAUGGCUUGGAUGGUGAGGCACUGCUGAUGCUGGGGAGGUUCCAUGGGUGGAUGGCGGCGCACGGUCGGUCGUACGCCACCGUGGAGGAGAAGCUGCACCGGUUUGAGGUGUACCGGAGCAACAUGGAGUUCAUCGAGGCGGCGAAUCGGGACAGCCGGAUGAGCUACAGCCUCGGCGAGACCCCGUUCACCGACCUCACCCACGACGAGUUCAUGGCCAUGUACAGCAGCAACGACGAGUCGUCAUGGGAGUCGGAGGAGAUGACGGUGAUCACAACUCGCGCUGGCCCCGUCCACGAGGGCACCGCCGCCGUCGAAGAGCCACCUCGUCAUACCAAUACCAAUCUGACGGCGGUGGUGCCUGCGAGCGUCGAUUGGAGGGAGAAAGGCGUCGUCACAGCAGCCAAGUAUCAAGGGGAAUCCUGUUCGUCUUGCUGGGCGUUCACGUCGGUGGCGACGAUGGAGAGCGCGCAUGCGAUCAGCACGGGCGGAUCGCCACCGGUGCUGUCGGAGCAGCAGCUGGUGGACUGUCGGAUUAACGGCUGCGGCAACAGUUGGAUGGACAAGGCCUUCGAGUGGGUGAUCCAGAACGGUGGCAUCACCACGGAGGCGGCCUACCCCUACACCGGCAAGGUGGGCACGUGCCAAAGGGCCAAGCCGGUCGCGGUGAAGCUCAGAGGCUACAAGAAGAUUUCACCACCCGGUGACGAGGCGGCGCUGAUGGCGGCCGUGGCGCAGCAGCCCGUCGCCGCAUCCUUCGACUACAGUGACCCCUGCUUCCAGCACUACAUCCGCGGCGUGUACAACGCCGGUUGCUCCAGGUCGGGCGUGUACAACAAAGGGGCGUGCGGGACAACGCAGAACCACGCGCUGGCCAUCGUCGGGUACGGGACCAAGCCUGACGGGACCAAGUACUGGAUUGGCAAGAACUCGUGGACUGACCAGUGGGGCGACAAAGGCUUCGUCUAUUUCCUUAGGGACUCGCCACCCUUGGGCUUGUGCGGCAUUGCCAAGUACCCGCUUUACCCUAUCAUCUGA